AUUGAACGCUGGCGGCAUGCUCUACACAUGCAAGUCGAACGGUAACAGGCCGCAAGGUGCUGACGAGUGGCGAACGGGUGAGUAAUGCAUCGGAACGUGCCCAGUCGUGGGGGAUAACUACUCGAAAGAGUAGCUAAUACCGCAUACGAUCUAUGGAUGAAAGCGGGGGACCGUAAGGCCUCGCGCGAUUGGAGCGGCCGAUGUCAGAUUAGGUAGUUGGUGGGGUAAGGGCUCACCAAGCCAACGAUCUGUAGCUGGUCUGAGAGGACGACCAGCCACACUGGGACUGAGACACGGCCCAGACUCCUACGGGAGGCAGCAGUGGGGAAUUUUGGACAAUGGGCGCAAGCCUGAUCCAGCAAUGCCGCGUGCAGGAAGAAGGCCUUCGGGUUGUAAACUGCUUUUGUACGGAACGAAACGGCUCUGGUUAAUACCCGGGGCUAAUGACGGUACCGGAAGAAUAAGCACCGGCUAACUACGUG
rnacentral:rRNA from 1 species